ACCCAUUGUUGCCCUCGCAAGGCCUCACCCUCUUUGUUGUCGAAGGUCCAGUUGUACUUGCUGGCAAGACCGGUGGCUGGUGCACCUGUGAGCCAUGGCAUGCCGGUCAGUCAUUCUCCAGCGGACCGCGAACCAGCGCUCGCUGCCUGAGCCGUUUACCGUUUGCAGGUGCUUGCGAUUGAUGGUUCGCCACCUCGCUCUGGGAAGCGCUGCACCUUACAGCUGCAGCCCGGCGACGAGUCACCGGCGCGAUGCUCCGCAA
rnacentral:lncRNA from 1 species